AGCUAGAAUAACUAGCUCUGGAACUUAGAAUAAGUAGCUCUGGAACUAGAACAAGUAGCUCUGGAACUAGAAGCAACUAGCUCUGGAACUAGAAAACUAGCU